rnacentral:lncRNA from 1 species
GUUAACAACUCUAAGAAGACAAUUAUUAAAAGACACCUCUGAUGAUUCCAGGGAAGAUAUUACUCUUAAAACUAUCACAGUAAACUCACCUUCAUGAAAAUAUGACACAGAAUAAUUGAAAUUUAAGUUAAAAGUGAUGGUAGCUGGUUUAGAUGAAGUCUUGCUCUGUCACCAGGCUGGAGUGCAGUGGUGUGAUCUCGGCUCAAUGCAACCUCCGCCUCCCAGGUUCAAGUGAUUCCCCUGCCUCAGUGUCCUGUGUAGCUGGGACUACAGGAGUGUGCCACCACACCCAACUAUUUUUUUUAUUGUAUUUUAGUAGAGACAGGGUUUCACCAUGUUGGCCAGAAUGGUCUCAAUCUCCUGACCUCGUGAUCCACCCACCUUGGCCUCUCAAAAUGCUGGGAUUACAGGCAUGAGCCACUGUGCCUGGCUGUGUAAUCUUAUGGGUGAAUAGCGACUGAUAUGAACAGAAUAUCUUUGAAAUUUGUAAGCCAAACUUGCAACUUUGAGGGAGAUAAAGAAACAAUUUACCAAACAAUAUGGAAAACACUGAAAUCCCCAAAGAAAGGGAAAAUUAAAUGUGGCUUUUACUAGGAAUUUACCAUAUUAACAUCCUACCUGGCACAUGAUAAGUGCCCAAUGAAUGAUAACCAAAAGAAAAAAACCAUAAUGUUAAGUGUGGUUACUGGCU